UCUGAGAGCUCAAUGCAUGUCGGUGAUGAUGAAGGUGAAGAUGCUGUGAGUGAUGAUGAGGAGGAGGAGGAGGAUGUAAUUGAAGGAGCUUGGGCUUUGCCAUCAGUACAGCUGAGUUAAAAUGAGAAAGGGAGCAAAGAAGAAGAAGAAAGGAAAAACUGAAAAAAGAAACAUUGAGGCUCAUGUCUUGUUUUGUUUCUCAAAAGAUUCCAUUAGACUCAAUAUGUCAUUCUAAGUGCACCUGGAUAUAGCGCAGAUUUAGAUAACUGUCUCCUCCCCUUCUGACCUUUAUUACGACUACAAAAAUUCUGUGUGUGAGGGAUAAAUAAUGCAUGCUCUCAGCCAAGAAGGGAAAGAAGACCCAAGGAAAAAUUGCAGAAUAGAAUGGCAAACCAGGAAAACAGAGCUCAGUACAGAAGGGAGUUGGGCAGCCUCUGUUCCUGUUUGGCUCUGUCCUUGAAGAAAGUGAUAAGAAGUGCACAGAUUUUGGAAUUAAACAGACCAUGGUUUGAAGUCUGGAUCUUCCAGUUGUAACCAGGUGGCAUUGGGGCCUAUGGUUCAUCCUGCAAUAUCAGAGAAUACACAACUGUUGGAAGCUCAUUUGUGCAGAAGCACUAGUUAGACCAAGUCCCAGGAUGGUGGGGACUUGAACUGCCUCAUGCACAUUGUACCCAAGAGCCUGGCCCAUGAAGGUGAAUCAGUGGAUACUUGAAUAAAAAGAAGAAUAUGCG
rnacentral:lncRNA from 10 species